GUAUUCGUGGUUCAGUGGUAGAAUUCUUGCCUUUCACGUGAGCGACCUGGGUUUGAUUCCUGCCAAUGUA
rnacentral:tRNA from 1 species